CACACAGACACACAUUCUAAUACACAGACACACAGAUAUACACAGACACACAGAUAUACAUACAAAUAGAAUAGGGGAUAGUCUGCUAAAUACAAAUAAAAUAACGUUUAACUGUGUGGGAGUUAAUGACAGUGUGCAGUCACAAUUGGUCACUCACAAAUUUUCUGAUGUAAAAGCAGCCUUGAAUGGUAUAUUUUCCUUCAAUGUCCACUGUAUUGUCCCUCCUCACACUUCCGUCAGUAAAUUGGCAUAUAUGGCUCAAAAGGAAAAAAAAUACAAAAAAUGUAGUGCACUUCCAGAGUAUAGUAAAACAUUUUUUAUAACUUACAUUUAAGUAUCAAACAAAUCACAUGUUACCAUAGGAGCGUCCUACGUGUUUCAUCCUAUAAUUGGACUUCCUCAGGGACUUGGUGAAACAAAUACAGCAGUAAUAACAGCAAUAAAAAGUUUCCCUCCCACAGUUCUUUUAUAUAUCCCCCAUACAAUUAAUUAUCAGAUGAUUCCCGGCCGGUGUUCAACUUCCGUUUUGGCGGCAUUCUCUGUGUGUUUGACGUCAUUGCAUGCGCCGUAUGCGUUCCAUCUUGCGUUCCACGGACCCGGAAUAAAUCUACACCCUCACAAUUCAUAAAAAUACAUUAAAAAAGGAUGAAAUAUAUGUGUAUACACAAAUAACAACAUAGCCUGCACAUUACAAGAGGCCCCUCAUGGCACAUUCCCAGCGGGCGGCCCUGAGUGUAUGUUUCCCAUCCCCCCCUCCCUGCACAUUACAAGAGGCCCCUCAUGGCACAUUCCCAGUGGGCAGCCCUGAGUGUAUGGUUCCCACCCCUCCCCUGCACAUUACAAGAGGCCCCUCAUGGCACAUUCCCAGUGGGCAGCCCUGAGUGCAUGGGCCACCCGAUGGACCUUCAACCACGUUCCCAGCCCUGCUG